UCUGAAUCUGCGUACGGCUCCGCAAACCAGUUGUAAACUAUAGCAAGCAUGCUCGGGAUUUGGCCCUCACGGGUUGGGUUUCGGGUGAUAAGGAUAACCCUGGUAAUUCUGAGGCUAAUACUAGAACGCAAAAACUUGACUGACCGGUUUUACUGGGAGGUUGGGGGGCGUGCAAGUGGGUUUCGCAUAGGAUAACCGGGAAGGGGUGCACGUUUGGACCGCGAUAAAGACAGACUGGUUUCGGCCGGCCUGAGCGGCACUUGCGUUGUGCUUCUGACCUAUCAACUAGAUGGCAGCGUAACGGACAUGAAUAUGGU
rnacentral:rRNA from 1 species